GACGAACGCUGGCGGCGUGCCUAAUACAUGCAAGUUGAGCGCUGAAGGUUGGUACUUGUACUAACUGUAUGUUCAGCGAACGUGUGAGUAACGCGUGGGGACUCUCCCUUUGCGCAGGGGACCACAUUUGGAAACGAAUGCUAAUACCGCAUAAAAACUUUAUACAUAAGUUUUAAGUUUGAAAUAUGCUAUUGCAUCUCUCAAAUAUACUCCCGCGUUGUAUUAGCUAGUUGGUGAGGUAAAGGCUCACAAAGGCGAUGAUACAUAGCCGACCUGAGAGGGUGAUCGGCCACACUGGGACUGAGACACGGCCCAAACUCCUACGGGAGGCAGCAGUAGGGAAUCUUCGGCAAUGGACGAAAGUCUGACCGAGCAACGCCGCGUGAGUGAAGAAGGUUUUCGGAUCGUAAAGCUCUGUUGGUAGAGAAGAACGGUGGUGAGAGUGGAAAGCUCACCAAGUGACGGUAACUAACCAGAAAGGGACGGCUAACUACGUG
rnacentral:rRNA from 1 species